rnacentral:rRNA from 1 species
UACGGGGGGGGGCAAGCGUUGUCCGGAAUUAUUGGGCGUAAAGAGCGCGUAGGCGGUCCGAUAAGUCGGCUGUGAAAGUCAGGGGCUCAACCCUUGAAAGCCGGCCGAUACUGUCGGACUAGAGUCCGGAAGAGGCAAGUGGAAUUCCCGGUGUAGCGGUGAAAUGCGCAGAUAUCGAGAGGAACACCUGCGGCGAAGGCGGGUUGCUGGGCUGACACUGACGCUGAUGUGCGAAAGCUAGGGGAGCGAACGGG